AUAGCACACAAAUUAAACCCAUUAAGGUUGCGGAAGGAGCGCCUCCUCGCCUAUGCCACGUCCCGUGAUUUACUGCAGCUCAGUUAACACCUCCCCAAUCCCCAAGGUAACUUCACGAAGGCAGUCAACGCACGCGAGACAAGGGCGCCUUCUCGGCGCCUUCUCGUCUGCUCGUAUUAAUAAUUGGCCCACGUACCACUGCCCCAUUUCCUUCGCCAAGAAGAAAGAAAGAGAUAGAGGAGCCUGCCUUCAGUUGGAUCCGAUGAUGCGUCGUGCUGCUGCUCUGUAUUCCUCCCCCCUCUCGAGCGGCUGAUAAGGCGGAGUGGCCGGAGGUGGUGGACCGGUGGGGGCGAGGUAUGUGUCAUGGCGUUUCGGCGGUGGCGUAGCACGGCUUCCUUCCGCUGCAUUCGACGACAUACGAGAUGGCAGUGGUGGUAGGCUGCUGGCAGCGGAGACGCUGGAUCAAUAUCUACCUCGACGCCGGCAAGUCAGCCAGCGGCGACCGCCCCUCCGUGUUCCUCGCGGCGGCGCAAACGGCCAUCAAAGACAUUUCCUGGAGCAGAAGUUGAAGAAGGACCAGAAGGCAAGAGAGAAGGAGGAGGAAAAACUUAAGGCAAGUCAAAACGGCUAGGCUCCAGUUAGCAUAAUUUGUGAUGGGUGCGUGGUGGCCUCCAUGGAAUGGCAUGAAAUCACAAACUACAGAGUUGCACAUGAGAAGGGCACCCCUGUACACGUUGGGAUGCUGAGGGAUUUACUACUGUCAUUCUUUAACGAGAGCAAUCUUAAACCCGGGAAGAUAAUAUUCUACAGGUGUCCUUGAAAGGGGCAUAACGAUUGGCAGUCUUGGUUCAAAGAGUUUCCUGACAUAUGAAAGCAACACUCUCUUUGCCCUUUUCUUUACGAUUGAGUGCAACAUUGUUGGUGGCAAUUGGAUCGAACUUCCUGCUCGGAUGUAUAGCAAAGCAACUCGCAUCAUGUCCUAUUGUCAGCUAGAGUUGGAUUGCCUAUAUUCAGAUUUGGUAAGCCAUGGUCCUGAAGGGGAAUACUCUAAGAUGGCCCUCUUUUGCAUAUUAAGUUUUGACAUCGAAUUUGCUGGUCGCAAAGGAUACUUCCCAGAACCAAAUCAUGAUCCGGUUAUUCAAGUUUAUUUUAUUACCUUUGUAUUUUGAUUGAUAAGCCAUUACAUUUAAUUUCCAAUGUGAAUGCCUUUAUGUGGUAACUGAAUGAGUGUUCUCUUUUUUCUGCCACUGACUUGAAGGAAUAUAUUUUUUAAUAUAUCGAUGCUCAUCAUUGCCAUGUCGGGCUCUCUGGUUCAUGCUACACAGAAGCUUAGAUCUGUAAUCAAGCUAUGGAAGAGAGUACUGUAAGAGACACUUCUAUAAGCAGAGACUUGCUUUUUUGAUUCAGUUGAAGAGCUCUCCUGGCUUAAGAUCUUUCUAGGAUAAUUACGUCGUUAAAUCUGAAGGAUUCACUCAUGUGCCAAAGCCAGCUCAGGGAAGCCUUCCUGUACUCCUGGUCGACCACGACACGAUCUUAAGCAAGCGGAACGCCGAAGGAGGAUCUUGGGGAUGACGGAGGCGUCGAUGACAACCUCAAAGGCGAGAGGAUGAGAUGCUUUGAGGCGCUGCAGCAAUACAAGUGCGCACAACUUCAUGUCAAGAGGCGCGCCAUGGGCGCGCCCCAGCCCCAAGUAUCACAGUAAGACUGGCUACGAUACAUUGCGCAGGAUCUAUCACAGCCGAAGAUGGACACAGGAGCACACAUAAAGGGACACUACUCUGGCAAAAUAGCAGGCAUGUCAAAAGUUUAAACCAGCACAAAGCGAGAUAGGUAAUAGAAAUAAGCAUUGCCCCCACUGACCGCCCGUCACCUUCGCGACAAAACUAACGGAAGUUUUUUUUGAAAAGGAGGAUAGACCCCGGCCGAUGAAUUAUUAAUACAUCAAUCGGUCUAAAGACAUCAUCUAGGCAAUACCUGUUGCUACUCCUAUCCCAUUGAUGAAGGUGUGCCGAAUAUCCGGGCCUAAUACCAAAAGGGCAUCGCACCAAACCCUAACAUCUAAAGCCGAAUGCCCCAGCCCAGUCACACACCGGGACAGGGUCCCAUAUCGGACCGACGCACUUUCAGAGGCUGCUGCUGUCAUCUUCCACCGGUCAAUCUCCAGAGCAGAAAUUGACCCAUUGACCGUGCCUGGCCUGCUGUCAAUGCCACCACGAUGCCAGACAACCCCACCAUCCUGCACGUAUCCGUCCACACACGCCCGUCGCCGAACCUCCGCAGCACCAUGCCUCCGGGAUCCGCCGUCGGUCUUGCGGUGGAUGAGACACCGCUGUUCCGCUUGUCCCGUCCAACUAGCACUUGCUCCAAAACGAUGCCC